CAUGUCACUCAAACCAGCUGUAUUAAGGAAGGUGCAAGCUUUUGGGAUUUCUGUUUGGAUUUAGUUUAGGUUCAAAAGAGCACGCACAGAUCCUGAGUGUUGUCAAGCACCCGUGACUGGGAAACGGAGGCGUCCGAUCCGUAUUGGAGUCAAUUCGCCACUUAAUUGAACACAGCCUCGAAGGGAAGGGCCAUAUUUGUGGGCCUGUCUAACAAUUAAGAGUGACCACAUGGAAUGGGGGAUGAAAGGGUUAAAGAAGAACAAAUAUUGAACACAGCUUUUCUAUGAACAAACUGCAGGCAGCUGCUGCUUUGCAAGGGGAACUUCUUGGCUGCCAUUUCUGGAUGUCAAGGCUGCAGAUACACUGGUCAGGACCCUGGGUAGAGAGAGAUGCGUCAGAAUGCGGCUCCUUUCAGAAAGGCUUCUCCGGAGUUUCAGGGGUUACUCCAUCAUUAUCAUGGCAGGGAACAUGGCAGGAUGCAGGCAGAUGGUAGCUGAGAGUUCUACAUCUGGAUCCACAGGAAGCAGUUGAUUGAGAAUAAUGGUUCUGUUUUGGAGGUUGAUGGAAGAUGCCCUUUGGCCAGGAAAACAGCUCAUGCUUUUAGAGGAGGAUAAUUGCCAGAAGGCCUCUCUGAAUAAAAAAAAAUCCUGACCUCA
rnacentral:lncRNA from 1 species